GUAGGUGUAGCUCACUAGUAGGGCUCUUGCCUGGUGCUUGCAAGGUCCUGGGUUUGAUUCCCAGCACCCACU
rfam:Cricetulus griseus cell line CHO-K1, whole genome shotgun sequence.